AAUUUAUGCUUCUUAGUCUGCAAACAUUUUCUACCGUUUGGCAUAGCUAGAACUAUGUCUUUUCCCUUUAAGCCUAAUAUAAAAAGAUUCAAAACGGUAAUAUCUAAUUGGCAUAAGACUAAAAGCGUAGAGCAUACUCCUCUUGUCUUUGGCUCAGCUUUAGAUCCAACUAGCGACGAAAUACCCCCUUUCAUUCUAAACUGCGUAGAGUACCUAUAUAUGUAUGGGUCUAAAACAGAGGGAAUUUUCAGAAUUUCCCCCGAAUCCAAUGAAGUGAAUAAUCUCGCUAUUCGUUAUAACCAAGGAGAAGAUAUAGAUCUGUGCAAAUCAAUAGAGGUAAAAUCAGAGACAGGCUCUAUUAUUAGAAGAUUGAUAGAUCCUCAUGUUGUCGCAGCUCUUCUUAAGAAGUAUUUCAGGGAACUUAAAGAUCCUCUCUGCACAUCAGAGAUGUAUGACAUGUGGAUUGCAACAUCGACUAUCAAAAACGAGCGGCUGUUUAAGGCUCAGAUAAGAAAACUACUUCAUUUUUUACCUCCUGUUAACUACAAAGUCUUUAUGUAUUUGAUUGUGUUUUUUAAUUUUUUAUGUUCACAUAGCGAAAAGACCAAGAUGAACGCAAUCAAUUUUGGUAUAUGCUUUGGCCCAAAUAUCUUUCGUCCUAGGAAUGAUUCGAACGUCUAUGAAUUACUAGAUGAAUCGCCAAUAGCUAAUCAAAUAUUUUCAAGUCUUAUUCAAAACAGCGAAUACUAUUUGAGCAGCCAAGUGGACUAGAAAUCUAAUCUAUUAAGCUGAAUAACACGAAUAAUAAGAACUUUUACUUGUGAAGCUAAAACGAGAGUUCACAGGUCAAAGUGCUCUUAGACAUUCAACGUAUUUUUGACCAUCCAGCUAAAUGCGAUUACAAGUUUUGAAUUAUGAGUGGCAAGGAGGUCUUGAUAGGUGCUGAUUCUCGCGGUCCCACCAUAGUUUAUAGUUGGAGUGUGCUAUUGAAAGGCUAGGCUUGUAUUAAAGUCGCAACAUCUAGUUUUGCCUUUCUUUAUUCGUAAUUUGCAAUACAUACAGCAAAUUAUAAAGUACUGCUAUAAACUAAAAUUUCGAGCAUCAAGAAUCGAAUGAAAGAGCGAAACAUUUUCUCUAAAUAUUCCUCUUUAAGAAUAGAUGCAUUACGAAAAAAUUAAUUGCAAUGCUAAUUACCUACGAAAACGCUUAAAAAAAGUGAGAUUUUAGAACCAAGCUGAAAACGUGACAAAAUGAUUUAAAAACUUCAAACAGGAGUCACUUUUAAGCGGAGAUCAAAACGGUAAAAAUCAAGCCGUUUUGACUAUGUAUCGAUUUUGGCUGAUUUAGACAUCGGACUAAAGAGCCUGCUCUUUUAUAGCUUUAAGUCGAGAUACAUCUUGUCAUUCCAACCUAAAUAAAUGACGAAGGUGAUAUAUUGGGUUCAGGUUGUCAAUAUCAGCUAUAUGCAACAUAUAUGAUAGCGCUAUAUAAAACAACAUCAACAAAAUCAAUUUAGUAGAUUUGAGUUUAACGCUCAUUUUCUUAAUUUAUCGACUUCACAUAUAUUCUAGCAAGAUAAGAAAGUGAAUCCCCAACCAAGGAAAAUUGGUUCUAUAUGCUGUUCAUUGUAUGAAUAUUUCUAGCAAUCCAGGCAGGCACAUAUAUUACCUUUUGACAAAAAUUGGAUAAAUAGAACUACUUAGGAUUUAGCGGUUUUAAAUCGAGUGUGAAAAUCGGUAUCCGCGAUAUCAAAUCAAAUUUACCUCGAGACCUAUCUUGGUGACAGAGAUUGGUAAAUGGAAUUGAUGCGCAUUACCGCGGUGGGUAAAGAUUGACACACUCUAUCUAUGGAAGUAAUAAGUAUAUAAGUUGUAAUGAGGCUCUAUACUGAAAGGAACAGAUGAAACAAAGCGCAUGCGAAUUCAUCAUGUCGACUGCUUGCGAGUGUCCCUCUUUUACAACAAAGAUUAUAGUGUAAUUAUUCGAAGCUACAAUCUCCAUUCAAUAGAUAGAAAAAUUAUUUAGACUGGUUUACCUAUCUCUAUUGGAAGUUGUUAUACGAAAAUGGGGCCGAGAGAUUAUGAGAAAGGGCAACAAGCAAGAAAAUAGUACACAAUUUUUGGCAUUAUUUCAAACAAUGAUCUAGUAAAAUUUCAUUUGACUUUGAUUCAUUUAAAACCCUUUGCGGCUAGGGAUACGCUGCUUUUUCUGGCCCUACAAAAUCAAGUUAGGGUUUGUCAAAGUGCAUGAUGGAAUACUGAUUCUUAAUAUGAUAUUUGAAAUCAGCAAGCAAUGUUAUAAAGAUGUAUUGAAACGUCUUCAUAAACAUUCUCAAUAUUCUUAUUUUUGUGGUUUUCAAAGCGAAUGAAUUCAAAAUGUUACAGCGAUCAAGACAAUUGUAAAUUCAGCCUCGGCGCGUAUCCCAAGGAUCCAUGUGAACCGAUGGCUCCUUAUGGAAUUGCCAACGAAAUUCUAUACACGAUGGGCUGACUCAAGAAUAUUAUGUUUGAUAACAGAAGAAUUUCAAAAGUGGAUGAAUCAAAAUUUUCGUAUUAUGGUAGCUAAUACAGUCUGACACAACUGUUCUGAAACUAAAUGCUUACAACGCCGACAACAAGACAAACUUUCAAAAGUAUAUUUGACACGUUCCUGUUAAAUUGUGCACAGAAAACACUUAAUAAACAAGCCAUCACGGAGAAGCAGGAGUUGAUAUGGAAAGGAUGAGUUGGAAUUCCAUUUUGUGGAGUAGCACGGUAUAUGGAAUUAGUUUAGUCAUGUGGCUUCUAGAAUUUUCGAAAACUGAUUUGUCUUGUAUAGACAACGAUAUUGAUGGUGAAGGAGGUACAUAAACUGAGGACUUCCAGAUGCUAUGAUGCAGAUGGGUGCUACGGUUUACCCUACCUGUUUGUCUGGGGCGCUAAAUGCGUUCGAAUAUGGUUGGAAAAAUUACGCAUGUUGUUUGAUCCCGCUAAGCUGGAGAGAAGUGAGCCAAAAAAUGAAAUUUUUUGAACAAAUUCAAAGUUUGGAAAAAGACCGAAUAAACGAACUGUAGACAUUUUUUUAUCUUCCCCUAUUAGGAAAGUCUGCAUAGAUUUCCGACAAGAGUAGGGCCUGUUGGAACGAGAGAACAAAACAUCUCAACUGAGUCUGAUUCUUCCAGCUUUAUAUAUAUAGCACGUCUUAUUUGCUGCCGUGUGUUAUUCACUCGUUAUAUAUGGCUUUCGAUUGCGAUCUUUUAGGGAAACUAGAACGGUUUGAACAAUGGCUAGAAAAUGUAGCGCAUAUCCAAAGGCCUAGAGAAUUAAAAAUCGUGCCCUCUGAAAACCCUAGCGAUCGUUUCAAGGUUGUGCUCCACAUAUCUGACUCCGAUCUCAAAGAUGACGUCGAGAUUCAUCCGGAACUUUCAGAAAUAAAAAAAAAAGUACGCAUA